AAUGAAUAAAUUUUUUCUGUUAUUUUUACUUAUCCGUAUAUAAUUAAAUGUUAUAUUUGCAAAAUCAUUACGCACUACAAAGGAGCGGAUAAAAUGCUCACUAGCAUUCCUAGAGAUCCAUCCCGAGACCCAAAAUUAAGAGGUGUGGAUAGAGCUUUCUUAACCUGCCAAAUGGAAGGAACGUUUAAACCAUUGGAAAAACCAAAUACGGUCGAGAGUAAGAAAAGUUAAAGUGGACAGAAUCCUGAUAGGUGGAGGUGCCCUGCAGCAAACGGAAACGUUGAAUUUGGAAGAGCGAGCAAUGGAAACGUUUGGAAGGACCGUGGUAGAUGGAGUGUCUGAUGUAAAUAAGAUGUUUGCGCAUAGUAUGUUUAUACUUAUACCUAUUUAUUAGAAUGAAUCUUAUAUCUGUCCGGAUAGGCCAGCAGUUGUUGUUAAUGAGAUGCCAUCAACCUCUCGUGGCCGAAAGCCGAAAUAUGAAGGAAUGUUUACAGAGAUGAUGGCUGCGAUGAAGAAGAUGAGCAACGGGGAAAAAUUUAUAGAAAUCCCUUAAUGUUUCCAGAAUGUUGCUGAUUCUAUAAAUAACAAUUUUAAAAUUAUCAGAGGCAGUUUAAAAAAAAAAAAUUAAGUAUUACAAUAAAUUAAUUAAUUUUUAUUUAUUGUGGUGUAUUAUUGG